CAGGCUUAACACAUGCAAGUCGAGGGGCAGCAUGGUCUUAGCUUGCUAAGACUGAUGGCGACCGGCGCACGGGUGAGUAACACGUAUCCAACCUGCCGUCUACUCUUGGACAGCCUUCUGAAAGGAAGAUUAAUACAAGAUGGCAUCAUGAGUCCGCAUGUUCACAUGAUUAAAGGUAUUCCGGUAGACGAUGGGGAUGCGUUCCAUUAGAUAGUAGGCGGGGUAACGGCCCACCUAGUCUUCGAUGGAUAGGGGUUCUGAGAGGAAGGUCCCCCACAUUGGAACUGAGACACGGUCCAAGCUCCUACGGGAGGCAGCAGUGAGGAAUAUUGGUCAAUGGGCGAGAGCCUGAACCAGCCAAGUAGCGUGAAGGAUGACUGCCCUAUGGGUUGUAAACUUCUUUUAUAAAGGAAUAAAGUCGGGUAUGGAUACCCGUUUGCAUGUACUUUAUGAAUAAGGAUCGGCUAACUCCGUGCCAGCAGCCGCGGUAAUACGGAGGAUCCGAGCGUUAUCCGGAUUUAUUGGGUUUAAAGGGAGCGUAGAUGGAUGUUUAAGUCAGUUGUGAAAGUUUGCGGCUCAACCGUAAAAUUGCAGUUGAUACUGGAUAUCUUGAGUGCAGUUGAGGCAGGCGGAAUUCGUGGUGUAGCGGUGAAAUGCUUAGAUAUCACGAAGAACUCCGAUUGCGAAGGCAGCCUGCUAAGCUGCAACUGACAUUGAGGCUCGAAAGUGUGGGUAUCAAACAGGAUUAGAUACCCUGGUAGUCCACACGGUAAACGAUGAAUACUCGCUGUUUGCGAUAUACUGCAAGCGGCCAAGCGAAAGCGUUAAGUAUUCCACCUGGGGAGUACGCCGGCAACGGUGAAACUCAAAGGAAUUGACGGGGGCCCGCACAAGCGGAGGAACAUGUGGUUUAAUUCGAUGAUACGCGAGGAACCUUACCCGGGCUUAGAUUGCAGAUGAAUUACGGUGAAAGCCGUAAGCCGCAAGGCAUCUGUGAAGGUGCUGCAUGGUUGUCGUCAGCUCGUGCCGUGAGGUGUCGGCUUAAGUGCCAUAACGAGCGCAACCCUUGUUGUCAGUUACUAACAGGUUCCGCUGAGGACUCUGACAAGACUGCCAUCGUAAGAUGUGAGGAAGGUGGGGAUGACGUCAAAUCAGCACGGCCCUUACGUCCGGGGCUACACACGUGUUACAAUGGGGGGUACAGAGGGCCGCUACCACGCGAGUGGAUGCCAAUCCCCAAAACCUCUCUCAGUUCGGACUGGAGUCUGCAACCCGACUCCACGAAGCUGGAUUCGCUAGUAAUCGCGCAUCAGCCACGGCGCGGUGAAUACGUUCCCGGGCCUUGUACACACCGCCCGUCAAGCCAUGGGAGCCGGGGGUACCUGAAGUGCGUAACCGCGAGGAGCGCCCUAGGGUAAAACUGGUGACUG
rnacentral:rRNA from 1 species